rnacentral:lncRNA from 1 species
AAAAGCAUGGACGGAAGCAGCAGCAGAAGAAGAACUGAACGAUAACGAGAGGCACGGAUUGAAGAGGGAGUACAAAUACUAGGAUGAAUUAGCAGAUGGAUUACAAAGGCACACCACUGUACAAACGAAAAGAAAAAAAAACAGAGCAAAAUAUGGAGAAGAGGGAGGAAAAAAAACUGGAGUUUGCGAGUUGAAAAGCACGAGCACCUACCGGCUCGACUCACCCGACGCGACGGAAUCCAAGCAAGCAGUUAUAAAUCAUCCCGGUGCGGCUCGGCUCGGCUCGAUCGGUCGUGGGCCGCGACGUGGCGAGGCGCUGAGGUAGGUGGGGUCUUUGAAAGCUGGGCGGCUUGGCGGCGCCGUCCGGCCGGAGCAGCUACUCGUCCGGCACCCCUUACGCGUCGGUCAGCCACAACCCAGGGAACAGCGACUGCGCAAGAACAGUAGCAACCACUGUUAGUUUGGAUCGCAGGAGUGCGAUUGCACACAACAAUUAGGUUUAUUAAUUAAGAUAUUAUGCCUGGGUAUUUAGGGUUAAAGGUGUAAUCGAGGGAAUAAAUAAGAGAGGGUAAUUGGUUAAAACAAUGGUGGUUUGGAAAGGGGGGGAGGGGGUAGUGUGGGGAAUUCGCCUUACAUCGAGCUGCCGCUGUACGGCGCGCGGCCGCCUCCUCGGACGCCG